rnacentral:rRNA from 1 species
AUUGAACGCUGGCGGCAUGCCUUACACAUGCAAGUCGAACGGCAGCACUGGGCAACCUGGUGGCGAGUGGCGAACGGGUGAGUAAUGCGUCGGAACGUACCUUUCAGUGGGGGAUAACGUAGCGAAAGUUACGCUAAUACCGCAUAUUCUGUGAGCAGGAAAGCAGGGGAUCGCAAGACCUUGCGCUGAUUGAGCGGCCGAUGUCAGAUUAGCUAGUUGGUGAGGUAAAGGCUCACCAAGGCGACGAUCUGUAGCGGGUCUGAGAGGAUGAUCCGCCACACUGGAACUGAGACACGGUCCAGACUCCUACGGGAGGCAGCAGUGGGGAAUUUUGGACAAUGGGGGCAACCCUGAUCCAGCCAUGCCGCGUGAGUGAAGAAGGCCUUCGGGUUGUAAAGCUCUUUCGGCCGGGAAGAAAUCGCACGGGCUAAUACCCUGUGUGGAUGACGGUACCGGAAUAAGAAGCACCGGCUAACUACGUGCCAGCCGCCGCAGUAAUAC